rnacentral:lncRNA from 1 species
GCUCAUUCUACUAAAUUAAAAUCGGCCCAAUUAAAAUACCAAGCCCAUAGCAAUUAAAAUAAGGCGCUGGCCCAGAACAAACUAAAUACAAGUCCAAACACUAAGUAUUUAAAAGCCCAAAGCUUGGCCCAAAAGAAUUAAAAAGGGUGAGGCCCAAAUACACAAAUAAAGGAGAAAAGCCCAAUUUCUCUCCCUCAACAACUCUCGGUUUCUCUCUGUUCUAAAAAACGAUGCUCGGCUCCUUCUCUUGUCACAGAGAACCUCUCGGCCACUUCCGUUAGGAAGUCUCGCCGCCUCCUGCUCCGGUCGGCGUCUGCUACAUCCGUCGAGCGGCCGCUGCUCCGGACCCUGGUACCGGUCUGCCUCCUUACCUUCUCUCUCUCGCACCGCCCUCAGUCGAGGAGUCCGCCGUCGCGGCUCCAGAAUCCGGCGAAUCAGUCGGCGCCGGUCGUGCCCGCCUCUCUCCUCGUCUCUACCAUGAAAGGGGAAGCAAAAAGCCCUAAAUCUCCCCUGAAGUUUCAAACUCAGUUCUCUCUCUCAAAAUCCGAUCGGCCUUUCCCUCUCAACUCCGGUCGGCUUCUCCUUCUCCGGCCGUUCAGCUUCCGCCUGCUCCGGCCAGCGUCGGCUGCCGACGCGUCUACCCCGGCGUCGUCCUCUUUCUUCUUUACUCCAGAUCGAGCCCUACUCUAUGUCGGAGGUUGCCUCCGCCGUCUGUCCUUGCUCCGGCGUCUGGCCGCAGUUGCUGCUAUUCUGAUGCAGGCGAGACGACGAGAGUUCGCCGCCUUCCUUCUCCGUUCCGGCAGUAGGGGUUCGCCGUUCCCUUGGGCUCGUCUGAACAGGCAGUUGGCCCUUCUCCCUAAAGCUAAGUCUGCACACUCUCAAUUCUAUUCAAUGUUCUAGUUUCUAAGGGUGGGAGUCUCAUGAUUGCUAUUCUAGAGUGCAGUCGUAAUACACAUAAGUCUUUCUAUUGUUGUUCAUUACGUGGACUGUCUGAUGUAAUGGUGGAACAUGAUUAUGCAAUUUGAAUAUUUAAAUGCGAACUGGAUUGAAUAUCUGAG